rnacentral:rRNA from 1 species
CUGUGCUAAGGUAGCAUAGUCAUUUGUUUUUUAAUUGAGAACUGGAAUGAAAGGUUAAUCUUAUUUUAAUUUUUGUCCUACUAAAUAAUUAAUUAAAGUUAAGRUAAGAAUUCUUUAAUCUUCUAGGGGACGAUAAGACCCUAGAAGCUUGACAUUAAGUUAAACUAAUAGUUUAAGUUGAGUUUUUGUUUUACUGGGGCGGUAGAGAUAAAUAAGCUAUUUGAGUAUAAAAGAUCUUUAAAAUUAAGAUAGUUGGGAAUAGUUACUCUAGGGAUAACAUUGUAAUACUUUUGGAGAGAUCUUAUUGAUAAAUGAGUUUGCAACCUCGAUGUUGAAUUAAGAUGUCUAAGUGAUGCAGAAGGUACUUAAGAAGGUUUGUUCAACCUUUAAAAUCUUACAU